rnacentral:rRNA from 1 species
AGAGUUUGAUCUUGGCUCAGAAUCAACGCUGGCGGCGUGCCUAACACAUGCAAGUCGAACGCGAAAGCCCCGCAAGGGGUAAGUAGAGUGGCAAACGGGUGAGUAACACGUGGGUGACCUGCCUCAGAGUGGGGGAUAACGACCCGAAAGGGUCGCUAAUACCGCAUAACAUCCUGCUUUUGGAUAAGUGGAGAUCAAAGCCGGGGAUCGCAAGACCUGGCGCUCAGAGAGGGGCCCGCGGCCGAUUAGCUAGUUGGUGAGGUAACGGCUCACCAAGGCAACGAUCGGUAUCCGGCCUGAGAGGGCGGACGGACACACUGGGACUGAGACACGGCCCAGACUCCUACGGGAGGCAGCAGUGGGGAAUUGUUCGCAAUGGGCGCAAGCCUGACGACGCAACGCCGCGUGGAGGACGAAGAUCUUCGGGUCGUAAACUCCUUUCGAUCGGGAAGAACGUUUUCGGGAUGAAUAAUCCCGGGAAGUGACGGUACCGAGAGAAGAAGCCCCGGCUAACUCCGUGCCAGCCGCCGCCGUAAU